rnacentral:rRNA from 1 species
UACGGGGGGGGCAAGCGUUGUUCGGAAUUACUGGGCGUAAAGGGCUCGUAGGCGGCCAACUAAGUCAAACGUGAAAUCCCUCGGCUUGACCGGGGAACUGCGUCUGAUACUGGAUGGCUUGAGUUUGGGAGAGGGAUGCGGAAUUCCAGGUGUAGCGGUGAAAUGCGUAGAUAUCUGGAGGAACACCGGUGGCGAAGGCGGCAUUCUGGACCGAUAUUGACGCUGAGGAGCGAAAGCCAGGGGAGCAAACGGG